UACGUAGGGUGCGAGCGUUGUCCGGAAUUAUUGGGCGUAAAGAGCUUGUAGGCGGUUUGUCGCGUCUGCCGUGAAAAUUCGAGGCUCAACCUCGAACUUGCGGUGGGUACGGGCAGACUAGAGUUCGGUAGGGGAGACUGGAAUUCCUGGUGUAGCGGUGAAAUGCGCAGAUAUCAGGAGGAACACCGGUGGCGAAGGCGGGUCUCUGGGCCGAAACUGACGCUGAGGAGCGAAAAGCGUGGGGAGCAAACAGG
rnacentral:rRNA from 1 species